rnacentral:rRNA from 1 species
UACGAGGGGGGCGAGCGUUGUUCGGAAUUAUUGGGCGUAAAGGGUGCGUAGGCGGUUUGGUAAGUCUUAUGUGAAAUCUACAGGCUCAACUUGUAGUCUGCAUGAGAAACUGCCGGGCUUGAGUAUGGGAGAGGUGAGUGGAAUUCCUGGUGUGGCGGUGAAAUGCGUAGAUAUCAGGAGGAACACCUGUGGCGAAAGCGGCUCACUGGACCAUAACUGACGCUGAUGCACGAAAGCUAGGGGAGCAAACAGG